rnacentral:rRNA from 1 species
AACACGUGGGCAACCUGCCCCUAGCUCUGGGAUAACUCCGGGAAACCGGGGCUAAUACCGGAUACGACCUCGAGCGGCAUCUCUUGAGGUGGAAAGUUUUUCGGCUAGGGAUGGGCCCGCGGCCUAUCAGCUUGUUGGUGAGGUAACGGCCCACCAAGGCGACGACGGGUAGCCGGCCUGAGAGGGCGACCGGCCACACUGGGACUGAGACACGGCCCAGACUCCUACGGGAGGCAGCAGUGGGGAAUAUUGCGCAAUGGGCGAAAGCCUGACGCAGCGACGCCGCGUGAGGGAUGAAGGCCUUCGGGUUGUAAACCUCUUUCAGCAGGGACGAAGCGCAAGUGACGGUACCUGCAGAAGAAGCACCGGCCAACUACGUGCCAGCAGCCGCGGUAAUACGUAGGGUGCAAGCGUUGUCCGGAAUUAUUGGGCGUAAAGAGCUCGUAGGCGGUUUGUCACGUCGGCUGUGAAAACCCGAGGCUCAACCUCGGGCCUGCAGUCGAUACGGGCAGACUAGAGUAUGGCAGGGGAGACUGGAAUUCCUGGUGUAGCGGUGAAAUGCGCAGAUAUCAGGAGGAACACCGGUGGCGAAGGCGGGUCUCUGGGCCAUAACUGACGCUGAGGAGCGAAAGCGUGGGGAGCGAA